rnacentral:rRNA from 1 species
UAAACCUACGGGACGCAGCAGUGGGGAAUAUUGCACAAUGGGGGAAACCCUGAUGCAGCAACGCCGCGUGAAGGAAGACGGUUUUCGGAUUGUAAACUUCUUUUCUUAGUGAAGAAGCAAGUGACGGUAGCUAAGGAAUAAGCAUCGGCUAACUACGUGCCAGCAGCCGCGGUAAUACGUAGGAUGCGAGCGUUAUCCGGAAUUACUGGGUGUAAAGGGAGCGCAGGCGGGACUGCAAGUUGGAUGUGAUAUACCGCAGCUUAACUGCGGGGCUGCAUCCCAAACUUGAGUUCUUGAGUGGAGUA